CAUUGACCAAUUGAAUCCACUUGUGUGAGUGUCAGGAUUGUUGGCUGACAGUCACGAGAUUCUGUGCAGUUGAGUUGGGUGCUUGUGCAGAUUCAGUGUAAUAUAGUAUAGAAUAAUAUAGCAUAAUAAAGUAAUUAAUUAGCCUUCCGAUAUCAAUGGAGUCCACCUGGUCAUUUCUCCCCUUGGUCGGGGUUGCCCUGAUUUACAGUACAAGGGGAGAGCAAGCUGCAGGAUAUUUCACUCUUUGCAUCACCCUCAGAGAUGAGUUAGGAAUUAACAAAAGGUCAAGCCCAUCUGAUAAGAGCUGGCUACUGAGGACAAGCAGCACUUACCACCUGAAGAAGGGCCAGCAAAGAGGUUCACUCCCAUGAUGCUGAAGAUGAGCCAGAAGAUGAGGCAGACCAGCAGAACAUUCAUGAUGGAGGGGAUGGCUCCCAGGAGGGCAUUGACAACAACCUGUGAUGAAAUGGGAGAGGAAAAAUAUGCUUCAGAAAAAGGAUGAGACCAGUAAGACAGGAACACAAGAAUGUCUGAGCAGCAAUGGAACAAAUUUCCACCUAGACCAGAUUUAAUUUCAACAGUACUUGGAUCAAUCACUCCAGGAAAGUCUAUAAGAAAUGCCCAAAUACAGAAGAGCACAACCAAGGGUCUCUUUAAAAAUUUAUUUUAUAGUUCCUAAGCUGAACUCAGGGUGAACAUGUGAACUUCAUAAAGACACAAUGAUGAGUCAAACCUGUUAUGUGCUCAUCAGUUCUGACAAGCUUUGCUUUGCAGUCUUACCCUCAUUCCCUCAAACCUUGACAGCGCUCUCAAGGGUCUCAGAGCUCGCAGAGUCCUGAGAGAUUUCAUGGGGCCAAAGGUGCUGCCAAAGAGGUUUAUCAGAGAGACCUGAGUGGGGAGACAAAGGAAAUGUAUUAACAACAUCCUGUCAUCCGUUUCCUUUAUUUCUGUUAAAAGUAAACCCCAACCAACAAACAAAACCAUGGUUUCUGUGCCAGGAGUACAACAUCCUGACACCGUUGCUACAGGGGUUAAGGUCGGAAAUCUAAAUCCAGGAAAUAAUCAGGGAUUCUGUGCUAAUGCUGUGUAGGAAGAGCAAGGGCAAAACUCACAUCUACAAUAAGGAAAUCCAGCCAGCACCAGGCAUUGGUGAAAUACUUCUUGAAGCCAUAAGCCACCCACUUCAGGAGCAUCUCCAGAACAAAGAUGAAAGUGAACAUUUUGUCGAGAAAUGCCAAUAUCGCUUGAAUUCUUUCUCUCUUGUGUAUAUGGAUAUCUUCAAAUGCCUGAAACCAUAAUAGAUAUAGAAAAAUAGCAAAACCAAGAAAUUAAUCUUGCACAUUUAAAGUCAAGCAACACUGAGACCCCUUCAUCAUUAAGUUUGUUUUAAUACAGAUCUGAACAGCAUUUGUUACUCAAAUCUAUGCCAGCUGAUGAAAGUGUAAUUCUCCCUGUGCCUUCUCUUUCUUUUUCUCUAUAUAAUACAGCCCUGUGGAUGCAUCCUUCCUGCACAAUGAAAUCCUGGCAGGAUAGGAUAAAAAUA